rnacentral:lncRNA from 1 species
GCAUGCCCUGGCUGGAGGGCGAGAUCGGUGCGCGGUCCGGGGGAGCUUUAUGUAACACGUUGUGCUUUUGUCCCGGGCCAAGAACCAGCCGCCCUUGGUUUUCUCCCCGUAAAUUUUUCAGUCUCCCUUGUUUUGAAAGAAUACCAGUGGCCUGAACCCCCUUUCCCAGGUCUCCCGCCUCCCUCUACUUUUUUUUUUUUAAUGCCCGUCCUCCGGCCCCGAGGCAUUAGGUGGCUCCGGGCUGUCUAUGGGGGAGGGGAAGACGGAGAAGGGGAGGGCGGAUGGAGCAGCUUCUCUUCCCUUGUUUACAUACCUGGGAUCACAGCCUGUGAGCGAACUUCUGGAGUAGAAGUUUAGCUAGAAGAGGAAGGGUCAGGUAAGAGAAGUCUAUCAAAUCAGGCUUCACUGUACAACAUUUCCCCUCCUGCCCUCUGAAUGGAGUUUAGGAGUGACCACAGACCCAUGUGGGCAAGAGAGAUUGCCCAAAGGCUAUAGCUGGGGAAUUGGGGGGUUGGAGAAGGGAGAUUGAAGCAGGUCUGAAAAUGGGCACAUGAAUUUGUUUUGAGCACUCUGUUACUGAGAGACAUUUCAAACAUUCCCAGGCAAGGGAGUCGAUGACCCAGGAGUCACAGAGCUUUCAGUGUAAAGGUGGAGGUAGCCGAGUAGAUGAUCUUAUUCAACUUUUUCAUAUCACAAAUGAGGAAACGAGUGUCACACAAAGGGGAAGUCACUAAACCAAGGUCACAAGGCAAAUUAGCAUCACGAGAUUCUAAAGCUCAGGUCUCCUGACUCCUAAAGAAAGAUCAAGGGUCUUCUUACAGUAGAAUUUAGGAACCUUGCCUUAGUAAUCUGACAUUCACAGUUUCCCAGUGUGUCAUAGUCUAAGUUUGACUUCAGACCUCAAAGUUUCUCUAGACCCUAUUUCAUGACUGGAAUGCACUUAUGCUUUACUUUUCUACACCUCAAAAUCCUUCCUUCAUUCAAUAUUUAACUGAGAUGCCACCUCUUCCAAGGAACCUUCCCUGAUUGCCCCCACAACACUCAUUAGUGUUCUCUCCUUAAAGAUUACUAGAUUUGAACUUAGAGGACCUAAGUUUUAUGAUGCAUGAGACCUUGGACAAGUCCCUUAACCUCACUAGUUUUUGGUUUCCUUAUCCA